rnacentral:rRNA from 1 species
UUUAUUGAGAGUUUGAUCCUGGCUCAGGAUGAACGCUGGCGGCAUGGAUAAGGCAUGCAAGUCGAGUGGGUUUAGACCCACGGCAAACGGGUUAGUAAUACGUAGGAAUGUUCCCUUAAGUCGUGAAUAAUUUGUCGAAAGACAAGCUAAUACACGAUGUGCUCUACGGAGUAAAGAUUUAUCGCUUGAGGAGCAGCCUGCGUCCUAUCAGCUAGUUGGUGGGGUAAAAGCCUACCAAGGCUCUGACGGGUAGGGGGUGUGAGAGCAUGGCCCCCAACAUUGGGACUGAGACACUGCCCAAACUCCUACGGGAGGCUGCAGUCGAGAAUAUUCGUCAAUGGGCGAAAGCCUGAACGAGCGAUGCCGCGUGUAGGAUGAAGGCCCUCGGGUCGUAAACUACUUUUUUCAGGAAAGAAUUUCGAUGACGGUACCUGGAGAAUAAGAGGUUACUAACUCUGUGCCAGCAGUAGCGGUAAUACAGAGACCUCAAGCGUUAUCCGGAUUUAUUGGGCGUAAAGAGUGGGUAGGUGGUCGUGUUAGUCAGAUGUCAAAUCCUUCGACUCAAUCGAAGAACUGCAUUUGAAACGGCACGACUUGAGGCGGUGAGAGACCAGUGGAAUUCACGGUGUAGUAGUGAAAUGCGUUGAUAUCGUGAAGAACACCAAAGGCGAAGGCAGCUGGUUGGCACCGAUCUGACACUGAGCCACGAAAGCGUGGGGAGCGAAUGGGAUUAGAUACCCCAGUAGUCCACGCCCUAAACGAUGCACACUAGGUAUGGGAGGAAUCGACCCCUUCCGUGCCGCAGCUAACGCGUUAAGUGUGCCGCCUGGGAAGUACGAGCGCAAGCUUAAAACUCAAAGGAAUAGACGGGGAUCCGCACAAGUGGUGGAGCAUGUGGUUUAAUUCGACGAUAACCGAGGAACCUCACCAGGGUUUGAAAUCUAGCUGGAGAUCUUAGAAAUAAGAAGUCCUUCGAGGCCGCUAGACCAGGUGCUGCAUGGUCGUCGUCAGCUCGUGUCGUAAGAUGUUCCGUUAAGUCGGGAAACGAGCGCAACCCCUGUCGCGUGUUACACGUAUCACGCGAGACCGCCCAGCUCGGAGUGUAAAAGUUUUUGGGAAUUUAAGUGAAAGAGACAUCGUUCUUUUGGUUUGUUGUGGACAAUCUUACUACGGAAGAUUUCGGAUUGACAUCUUGCCGGGUUAUGGGUUGGAGACCUAUAGACACAACAAUCGCACAACGAAGCUGUCAAUCUUCAGUUGUACUUAAAUUCCCUCCCAAUUUUUUGCAUUGCGAGCUGGGAGGAAGGAGGGGAUGACGUCAGAUCAGCAUGGCCCUUUGACACCCUGGGCGACACACGUGCUACAAUGGCCGGUAUAAAGGGUUGCCAAGUCGCGAGACGGAGCUAAUCCCAAAAAACCGGUCCCAGUUCGGAUUGGAGUCUGCAACUCGACUCCAUGAAGCCGGAAUCACUAGUAAUCGUGAAUCAGCCAAGUCACGGUGAAUACGUUCUCGGAUCUUGUACUCACCGCCCGUCACACCAAGAGAGCCGGCAAUACCAGAAGGCCCCGUGUCAUAUCGGGGACGACGGUGGGGUUGGUAAUAAGGGUGAAGUCGUAACAAGGCAUCCGUAGCGGAAGCUGUGGAUGAAUCACCUCCUUU